rnacentral:rRNA from 1 species
ACGCUCGACACCUACGGGAGCAGCAGUCGGGAAUAUUGCGCAAUGGAGGGAACUCUGACGCAGUGACGCCGCGUAUAGGAAGAAGGUUUUCGGAUUGUAAACUAUUGUCGUUAGGGAAGAGAAAGGACAGUACCUAAGGAGGAAGCUCCGGCUAACUACGUGCCAGCAGCCGCGGUAAUCUGAGGCGGGCUGGCAAGGC